rnacentral:rRNA from 1 species
UACGUAGGGACCGAGCGUUGUCCGGAUUCAUUGGGCGUAAAGAGCUCGUAGGCGGUCUGUCGCGUCUGCUGUGAAGUCCCAGGGCUUAACCCUGGGCCUGCAGUGGGUACGGGCAAACUAGAGUGCGGUAGGGGAGAUCGGAAUUCCUGGUGUAGCGGUGAAAUGCGCAGAUAUCAGGAGGAACACCGGUGGCGAAGGCGGAUCUCUGGGCCGUAACUGACGCUGAGGAGCGAAAGCAUGGGUAGCGAACAGG